UACGUAGGUGGCAAGCGUUGUCCGGAUUUAUUGGGUUUAAAGCGCGCGUAGGCGGCCGCUUAAGUCGGAUGUGAAAGCCCCUGGCUCAACUGGGGAAGUGCACCCGAAACUGAGUGGCUUGAGUACUAAAGAGGGUCGCGGAAUUCCCGGUGUAGAGGUGAAAUUCGUAGAUAUCGGGAGGAACACCGGUGGCGAAGGCGGCGACCUGGGUAGAUACUGACGCUGAGGCGCGAAAGCGUGGGGAGCAAACAGG
rnacentral:rRNA from 1 species